rnacentral:rRNA from 1 species
UGGGGAAUCUUGGACAAUGGGCGCAAGCCUGAUCCAGCCAUGCCGCGUGGAUGAUGAAGGCCUUAGGGUUGUAAAAUCCUUUCGCCGAGGACGAUAAUGACGGUACUCGGAGAAGAAGCUCCGGCUAACUUCGUGCCAGCAGCCGCGGUAAUACGAAGGGGGCUAGCGUUGUUCGGAUUUACUGGGCGUAAAGCGCGUGUAGGCGGGUUGGGAAGUUGGGGGUAAAAUCCCGAGGCUCAACCUCGGAACUGCCUCCAAAACUUCCAGCCUGGACUCAAGUAGAGGCAAGUGGAAUUGCGAGUGUAGAGGUGAAAUUCGUAGAUAUUCGCAGGAACACCAGUGGCGAAGGCGACUUGCUGGACUUGUAGUGACGCUGAGACGCGAAAGCGUGGGGAGCAAACAGGAUUAGAUACCCCUGUAGUCCCUGAGCGGGCUGGCAAGGCGCAU